AUACGGAGGAUCCGAGCGUUAUCCGGAUUUAUUGGGUUUAAAGGGUGCGCAGGCGGCCAUUUAAGUCAGCGGUUAAAUCGUGGGGCUCAACCCCAUUCUGCCGUUGAUACUGGGUGGCUUGAUUGCGGUCGAGGUUGGCGGAAUUCGUUGUGUAGCGGUGAAAUGCAUAGAUAUGACGAAGAACACCGAUUGCGUAGGCAGCUGACCAGACCGCAAAUGACGCUCAUGCUCGAAAGUGUGGGUAUCAAACAGGAUUAGAUACCCUGGUAGUCCACACAGUAAACGAUGAAUACUCGCUGUUUGCGAUAUACAGUAAGCGGCCAAGCGAAAGCAUUAAGUAUUCCACCUGGGGAGUACGCCGGCAACGGUGAAACUCAAAGGAAUUGGCGGGG
rnacentral:rRNA from 1 species